rnacentral:rRNA from 1 species
AGAAUCAACGCUGGCGGCGUGCCUAACACAUGCAAGUCGCACGAGAAGGGGACUUCGGUCCUGAGUAAAGUGGCGCACGGGUGAGUAACACGUGAAUCAUCUACCUCCGAGUGGGGAAUAACCUAGAGAAAUCUGGGCUAAUACCGCAUAACACUUACGAGUCAAAGCAGCAAUGCGCUUGGAGAGGAGUUCGCGGCAGAUUAGUUAGUUGGCGGGGUAAUGGCCCACCAAGACGAUGAUCUGUA